rnacentral:rRNA from 1 species
GAGUUUGAUCCUGGCUCAGGACGAACGCUGGCGGCGUGCCUAAUACAUGCAAGUCGAACGCACGAAGUUGAAGAGCUUGCUCUUUAACCAAGUGAGUGGCGGACGGGUGAGUAACACGUGGGUAACCUGCCCAUUAGAGGGGGAUAACAUUCGGAAACGGAUGCUAAUACCGCAUAGUUUCAGGAAUCGCAUGAUUCUUGAAGGAAAGGUGGCUUCGGCUACCACUAAUGGAUGGACCCGCGGCGUAUUAGCUAGUUGGUGAAGUAAUGGCUCACCAAGGCAAUGAUACGUAGCCGACCUGAGAGGGUGAUCGGCCACACUGGGACUGAGACACGGCCUAGACUCCUACGGGAGGCAGCAGUAGGGAAUCUUCCGCAAUGGACGAAAGUCUGACGGAGCAACGCCGCGUGAGUGAAGAAGGUUUUCGGAUCGUAAAACUCUGUUGUUAAAGAAGAACAAGGAUGAGAGUAACUGCUCAUCCCCUGACGGUAUUUAACCAGAAAGCCACGGCUAACUACGUGCCAGCAGCCGCGGUAAUACGUAGGUGGCAAGCGUUGUCCGGAUUUAUUGGGCGUAAAGCGAGCGCAGGCGGUUCUUUAAGUCUGAUGUGAAAGCCCCCGGCUCAACCGGGGAGGGUCAUUGGAAACUGGAGAACUUGAGUGCAGAAGAGGAGAGUGGAAUUCCACGUGUAGCGGUGAAAUGCGUAGAUAUGUGGAGGAACACCAGUGGCGAAAGCGACUCUCUGGUCUGUAACUGACGCUGAGGCUCGAAAGCGUGGGGUGCAAACAGGAUUAGAUACCCUGGUAGUCCACGCCGUAACGAUGAGUGCUAAGUGUUGGAGGGUUUCCGCCCUUCAGUGCUGCAGCUAACGCAUUAAGCACUC